CGUUUACGAUUCUAGGAGCGGACGACACAGGGGUGACCUAUGGGGCACCAUUUUGACAGUUCAGGCCGCUAUAAAAACAGGCUGGGGGCCGACGAGGCUCAGAACAAACAACCAUGAAGUUGGUCUUCCUUCUACCGGUGCUGGCACUUCUAUGUGCCACGCUGCAAUCGGCGAGCGCGUGGCAGUGCCCCCGUCACCACAUAAUUUACCUACGGACCUACAAGACAUCGGCCAGCGCCAGCAAGUGCUACUGCUCCCGGCCGGGCUGGAAGUGCUGUCCCACCAAAUGGGGAUACAUGUGCCUGCCCGUCUGUAAGCCCUACACACACUGGAAGAUCAGGUGUCCCAAAUACAAGCACCGCUGCGGACUGGUCACCCAAACCAAACACUGGUACUCCAGAUGCUUCUGAACGUCACACGGCUUCGAAUACCGGGGGAAGGACGGCGCAGGGAGAAGACGAGCCCGAGACCCAUCGUCCGGAGCAGGGGGAAUCACGCACAGCUUUAUAUCACAACCCUAUCCGAACCAGGCUUUGUCAGACAUGACAUCUUCGUUUCUCCUCCAGUUCGUAAUAAAUGCACAAUGUACCUACCAAAGCAACGAGUAAAGCUCUCGUGACCUGUAUAUUUGGCUUAUGAAGAAACAAUGCAAUAUAAUUUCGCUGGGGAA
rnacentral:lncRNA from 1 species